rnacentral:rRNA from 1 species
AACGAACGCUGGCGGCAUGCCUAACACAUGCAAGUCGAACGAGACCUUCGGGUCUAGUGGCGCACGGGUGCGUAACGCGUGGUAACCUGCCCUUAGGUUCGGAAUAACUCCCCGAAAGGGGUGCUAAUACCGGAUAAUGUCUUCGGACCUAAGAUUUAUCGCCUUUGGAUGGGGGCGCGUUGGAUUAGGUAGUUGGUAGGGUAAAAGCCUACCAAGGGGACGAUCCAUAGCUGGUCUGAGAGGAUGAUCAGCCACACUGGGACUGAGACACGGCCCAGACUCCUACGGGAGGCAGCAGUGGGGAAUAUUAGACAAUGGGCGAAAGCCUAAUACAGCAAUGCCGCGUGAGUGAUGAAGGCCUUAGGGUUGUAAAGCUCUUUUACCCGGGAUGAUAAUGACAGUACCGGGAGAAUAAGCUCCGGCUAACUCCGUG